rnacentral:rRNA from 1 species
UACGGGGGGGGCAAGCGUUGUUCGGAGUUACUGGGCGUAAAGGGCUCGUAGGCGGCCAACUAAGUCAGACGUGAAAUCCCUCGGCUUAACCGGGGAACUGCGUCUGAUACUGGAUGGCUUGAGUUCGGGAGAGGAAUGCGGAAUUCCAGGUGUAGCGGUGAAAUGCGUAGAUAUCUGGAGGAACACCGGUGGCGAAGGCGGCAUUCUGGACCGAUAUUGACGCUGAGGAGCGAAAGCCAGGGGAGCAAACGGG